rnacentral:lncRNA from 1 species
ACCCCAAUUCAAGAACCUCUCAUACCCCAACAGCCGGAACUGAAUGUAAGGGUAGAAGACAGGAAGACGACAAGUACAAAAAAAUCCACCACUACCAACUGGUCAGCAUCAACCACCACAUCACCGCUAAGUCAAGACACACAAAAGACACUGAUAACACUGAUAGCUUUAAGCAUGGUCUGUUGAUUGAGUGGAUUUCUCCAACUAUCGUACUCUAUCCUUCAGGCUUCUAGAGAUAUCCUCCAAAGGAAUGCUAUAUCAGAGGAGAAAUAUGGACACAAACAUGGCAAACUCUAGCCAAAUUCUGACAACUCCUCAGUCACAGCCAGAGUCAACAAUAAAAGCUGAGAGUCCCUCACGAAGUGAAACAGCUGCAAAGAAGACUCUCAGAAGAGAAAGGUUGCAAAGACAGUUUUGAGACCAGAAUAGCUGUGUGGAAGAAGCAGAUACCAGGCCAGUUGCUUGGAAGAGGUAAACCUCUUUAUAACUGAGGCUCUUGGAAAGGACACUCUCCAACAUGUUGAGCUGCCUGAAAGCUCUGUAUUGUAUUCAAGGUUCUCAGCUUUGUGAACUAUCACCCACAGUGGCGUGGGCUUUGCUGUCUUUUGUGUCAUUUCUGCUCCUGUAAGCAACCCCAAUAAAACACAUUAGUUCACC